AUGGUGAGAUUUAUUUCUUUUUGCCCCACCCACUUCUUAUUUGAUGAAUUCAAUAACCUCUGGUUGUUUCACAUAUAUCAUAAAUCCCCAAAGAAGAAUGAAAUCAAGUUUUGUAAAGUAACAACACUAGGCAGGGAAUUAUAUAUCCAGAUAUUUUUGUUAUUUUCUUUCCUUACAAAGAAAAAAGUCAUCUGUUCUUCCAGAUUUUCUUUCUCCCUUGUAUUUUUUUUUAACCCAGAGUUGAUAGGAGCCUAAACACUGAUGCUAAAGUCCUCUGUGGGCUCUGGUGGUGCAUCUGUAAUAACAAGCCUCAGGAGGUAGAAGGACCCCAAGUUGAAAACCAGUUUAGAUAUGUUGAGAUCCUGUCUCUAUAUUUUUAAAAAAAAGGCUAAUGAAAGAAUAUCCUUUUUGGGUUUUUGCCCACUUCAUUUUCAAAUACUGACUGUUCCUCCCAGUGGUAAUUGCAGACGACUAUAGUCAGUCUGUAAAGAUAACCCGGAGGUAAAGUCAGACCUCCGUAUUGAAAAUUAUUGUCCUUUCCUCUUGAAAUUUUUAGCAGAUACGCGUGUUUGCUCCCUAAUUUAAUGCGAUGUUUCCGUGUUGCUGACAAUAAGGUAGGUAUGCUUAGUCGGCUUAAGAAAGUUCUAUUUUCUUAUGCAGAGGGCCAUCACACAAAGUUCACACUCUUAAGUUCCUAAUUAUAGUCUUAAGCCUUUCUCCCCAAGGUUGCUCACCUGUGCGGUGUAUCUUCGAAGAUCAGGUCCAGUCUCUAACAGAAGUCUCUGAUUAGAGGGACAGGAUCCCGGGAAGACGCUCCAGCCGAAGGCUAGAUCAAGGUGCCGUCUCCAGGUGCACAGAGGAAGAACAGUGCUCGUGGUCUCUUUUUAUAGACUGCUCAGAGGGCGUCAGAGGAUUCUAGUCCUGUGUCUGGUUAUCUUGAAAGUGAUGUCACUGGGUUCUGGUUAUCAGGUAUAGCCUUGGGUGUAGUGGACUUCCUGACGAAGCUCUUUUUGUGUGCCUAAAAGGUGGUUUUUUUUCUAUGCUCAUUGCAUUUUGCAUAACUUGAUAGUGUCUUUAAAAAUCAGAUAGUAGAUAGUGAAGCAUAUUUCACACUUAAUUGCGCUAUGUUUCAGGGCAACUGAUGAGGUAGCCCUGUGGGGUUUUUUUUUUUGUUCUUUUGCUUUCUGUGCGUAUGCACAUGUGUGUAGGAGUGUUUGUGCAUAUGCAUGUUGGGGCUAAAGGUAAUCUUCAUUUUAGGUCUCGUCCACCUUAUAUUUUGAGAGGCAGGGUCUCAGUGAACUUAGGCUGUUCUACAUGGGCUAUACUGGCUUGUCGGUGAACUCCCGGGAUAUGCCUGUCUCCACCAUGUAGUCCCCUUAAAACACUGGGCUUCCAGAUAUGUGCCCCAUGUUAGCUUUUAUGUAGGUGCUAGGGAAUUGAACUGAGGUCCUCUUGCUUGAGCAGCAGACACACUUUACCCCCUGAGACAUCUCCCCAGCCAGACCCUCAAUUUUUAAAUAUUUUCUAUAUUUUAGAUGUUGAAGUAAAUGCUUUUUUCUUAACAAAAUUGUACACCAUUUUCAACCAGCAAAUAUCUGCUUCAGUUAUCAAUGAUAUGUACUUGUGCACAUGUCAGUGAAGGGUUUUUUUUAGGAUUUUAAUUUCAUUGUUUUUAAUUAUGUGUAGGUGUAUAUAUCUACAUAUGGGUAUGUGACAUGAGUUCAGAGGUCAGAGGCUUUGGAUCCCCUGGAGCUGGAAUUGCAGACUGUUCUGAGACACCUGGCAUGCAUGAUGGGAACCUAACUCGGGUCUUCCGGAAGAGCAACCAGUGGACCUCCUUGCUGAGCCCUCUCUCCAGCCACAAUGGUGAAAGGUUUUUACAGCAGCCUGCAGCUAUAUUUCCCAGGCCGACUGGAAGCAUCAGUAUCACCUGGCACUAAGAGCUAUGCAGGCUACCAAGUUAUAUAAAAUGCAUCUCUUGCCCUCAACCACUGAACUGAUGAGUGGAACCUUGCUUUCUAAUCCCUGGGGGGCUCCUGAACUAGAUUGAUCACUUCAGUGAACACAUUUUACUAGACCAGUGCAUCCCUAUGACACAGAGCGACACACCAACCCACUCUAUCCUGACCUUUCUUGUAGCCUUAUCUGAAUCCUAUGAAGAAGAAAGGGAAGCACAAAAAGGGUAAAGAAACAACCCAAACUAUGGCUCUCUAAGUUGUACAACUACAACCCGAGGAGAGGUUUGCUGGGUCCAUUAUACAGAUAGAGAACCAGAGGCAAACAGUAUCUCAGAAGGAAUUGAAAAGUGAGAGCGAACCUUCGUCCAGCAACUGAUGGAAACAGAGGCAGAGACCCGCAGUGGAGCACUGGACUGAGCUCCCAAGGUUCAGUUGAAGAGUGGGAGGAGUGAGAAUAUGAGCAAAGAGAUCAAGACCAUGAUGGGGACAUCCACUGAAGCAGUCUACCUGAGUUA